ACAAUUAAGACUAAUUGCCAAACCUCACAAUUCAAAUUAUGGAAAGGGAUACCGUAACCAUAAUCGAAUUCGAGAAUGCAAUUUUACAAUCACUAUCUUCUUAAAAUCUUUCUUAGUGAAAGCAUUUCCUCACAAUCAUUUUCAUGAAGGAGGAAAUCUUAUGACACUUAGAUUUAAACGGUGUAUGUGUUCCUAUCCAUGUGAAUUUGUUAAAACCAAAGUUUACGACAAAUUCAAACUCAUAUGGACCGAACUUUCUUAAUCUUGAUUUCUUGCCUUAUGGUAACACAGCUGCCCACCAUGUCUUCCAAGUAGUUAAGCAGCUCACCUUUUCUUAUCAAUGUACUUUCCAUUGAUCAAGGUCCUUGCCUUUUAUGCAUUCAAAUGAGAACUCAUAGAACUCACAUGCAUAAUUAACUCGAUUGGAUUGGCACAGAAACAAAAUAAUGUCAACACGAUAGGUUGUAAACCUCAACUCGUGUGCUAGUGAUGAUCGAUAAGGUUUUUUUGAUUUGUUCUUGAAACCUUUCAAGACCAUUAAGACUCCCACUGACUCCUUGACAUAUAAGAUUCUCUUGUCAAUAAACAUUUCUUGACAAACAAAUAUUCAAGAGUUAGUGUAGCUUUUAUCAAAACACUUCAUAAAUUGGUCCUAGUUGGUCUUUGUCUUAUCCAAGACAUCACAACUUUCCACAUUUGAUGAAUGUUAUAAACCUUCUUAAUACUUAUCACUCAAUGUCACAAUCUUAACUCUAAGACUUGUUUUGGAACGAAGUAUGAUUGACUUCUUGAUUUAACCAUUUCUUCAAUUCUUGAUUCCUCUUCUUAGACAUACAAUUGUACUAAGACUCACUUAGAGGAUCAAUUGAGAUAUGGUUCUUAAUCAUUAAGACCUAUCAUAAAGCAUAAAAGGUACUCUCCCUUCUUCUUAGAAUGGAGAAACUUUUAUCUUUCUGCCUACUUGAUUCUUCUUAUUCGUUCUGCUAUUGAUUUAAACUUUUUCAAUCAAUUCAGAAUUACACUUAAUCUUAUAAGUAUAAUCAUAUUUACUAAACCUUUAGUAAAUCAUGACGAAUAUCUUUGUUACUCUUAUGGUGGACUUGAUCAACACGCAACUUUGUGUACUCGAUCUCCUAGUCCUUCACUUGACACUUUGUCAAUGAAUUAGUCUAAUUUCCAAAUAUGAAAUUUCUCAUUCAUCGUGCAACCAAGUUGCAUGAUUCCAAGUUUCUGUCCAAUUGAAACUUGGGCGAUGAGAAACUCUCCCUAUUUGGUAAACUCUCGACUUUCCAUAAAUAACAUAAUAAGAACCAAAUCCAUUAUUGCUAAUAAUAGAAACAUUCAAACAUCAAUUUUUCAUAUACGCCAUUGCAAGGAUAAAUAAAUAAUAUAAAAUCAAAAUUUAUUUUAUUGCGGAAAAAAUUUGUCCUUACAAUGCAAUUCAUUGAAAAACUAUGCUAAUACAUCUUUCUUAGCAAUCUAAUUCUAACUCUAAGUAGUAGCUCAAGAAUCUAAUCUUCGAGAAAUGCGAUCGAAAUCCAUUCCUUCACGGUUAGAUUCUGCUCACUUCUUCCCUUAAGCUUCCUUUCUUUUCUUCGAUCCUACAAAACAUCAAUUGUAAUCUUAUCACAUUAUGUAUUAAGAAUCUAGAAUAGAAGCUUAAAAGAGUUAGUUAAUGGAUUUUACCUAUAUUAGAGCCAUACGUUUCGACUCUCCCAUCUCUUAGAUCUCUUAGGUAAAUGGGGCAGCUUCGUCUCCAAUGCCCUUUCUCUUGGCAAUAAAAGCAAAUUGACUCUUUUGGAACAUGACAUGGAACUACUUCAGACAUUGCCUUUCUCUUAUGAUCAAACUUUUCGAUCAUAGCAUGUCUUUCGUUGCCAUUGUCUAUAUCCAUAGAGGUCUUGAAGGCAGAUUCACCAAUCAACUUUGCUUUUCUAUUGCGCCAAACCAUUGCUGAUUCAGCAGCAAUAAGCAUAUAGGUGAGAUCUAUAAGGGUCACGUCGCGGUUCAUCAUAUAGUACUCUCUUACGAACUCACUAUAUGAGUUAGGAAGUGACUGAAGAACCCAAUCAACAGCCAUUUCCUCACAGACAACGGAUCCCAACAUUCUUAACCUAUCAAUGUGUGACUUCAUCCCUAGGACGUGUGCACACACCGACUUUCCUUCUUUAUGUUUACUUGCCAAAAGGGCUUGAGUGAUCUUGAACUUUUCAAGCCUUUGAACUUGUGGGUUAGGGAGAAUAAUUGGAGGAGGAGGAGGAAGUGAAGCAUGAUUUCUUGUUCCUCGAUCGAAUCGUGGAAUAUCAUCUUCAUGUGGAAUGCUUGUUCCACGGGAUUUGGGAAGACCAUAGUUGUCGAACUUUGACAUCUACAAAACGGGAGAAAACGAAUUCAAGUUAGUUGAUUGAUUGAGUCCUUAGUAAAUCACCCAAAUGAGAUACUAAGGCUAGGACCCAACACAAUAUUCUACAACUCGGGAGAGGGAUGCCGUAACCCUAAUUGCAGAAUAUUUGAAGGUAAGUGAAUGACGAUUCACUAAUUUCCACCAUGAAAAACGAAAAAGAAAUUUAAGUUUUAAAUCUAUGAAAACUCCUAGAUCCUUUGAGAUUCAUUGAACUUUCAAUGGCAUGUUUAAAUCUCGAUAUGCCCCUCUUGUUUGUGACUGGGAUGCCGAGGAUCACAAAGCGGGUGUGAAUAACCAUGCAAACUUACAUGGUGCCCUCACAUGUUACAGUCACCUAUUCGAUGUGCCGGUAAACCACACACGCUCCACCGAACUAUGACAAACAUUGAGUCACCCUUUGCUACCUUUGCUUAGAACCAUUUAGUGUGCCGGUAAACCACACACGCUCCACUAACGUCUUCGCAAGGGCACAAAGUGUAAUUUCAUGGAAUUGCAUCAAUUCACUUUUGCCUAAGUAACUAAGAUUGGGAAUUUUAUGAAAACAUUUAGUUACUUUAAUAAUUCAUUAUACUUAUAAUGGAAGGUUUCGUCCUAUCCUACCCGUUCGGCUAACGACCCUCCACUAGUCAAGAGUGCGGUGGGUAAGAGUGGAUACCCAUUCAAUCGCCAUUUUAUAGGCAAUUUCCUUAAACACCCCUUAUAGACCAGCUUCGUGAAUGAGGCCUACUAACGGUAAGACUGACUUUUACUCAUACAUAUAUAUAAUGUUAGACUUUUAAUGUUAUAUAUAGUAUAGGGUGUAUUUUAUACUUUUAAAAUACUAGGUGGUCUAAUUUAACAAUUAUACUUUUAAUUCAAUUAAAUUGUAAACCUAAACUUUUAUGGAUUUAUUAAACCUCUUUUAAUUAUACACCUUAAUUAAUUAAUAAAACCAUAAGGGUGUGAUUUGAACUUUUUCAAAACUAUACUAGAGUUUUAGAAUUUAACAUUCCUAAUUAAACUUUUAAUCAACUUUUAAAUUCCAAAACUUGAGGGCAAGUUUUGAAACAUUUCAACACAUUAGGGUUUAGAAUUUAAAUAUGCAUCAAAAUUAAACUAUUUAAUCAAAAUUUAAAUUCCAAAACUUGAGGGCAAGUUUUGAAACCUUUUUCAAAACAUUAGGGUUUCAACUAUUUAAAUUUCAAAACAACAAAACUUUUGGGGUUCAAAUUUAAACUAUAAAACCUAAAGGGCCAAAUAUGAAACUUUUCACAACAACAAGGAUCAAAUAACAAAUAAUUCAAAUUAACAUUUAAUCACAUAAUUAUCCAUAUUUGAUGAUUUCUUGCAAAAUAAUUUAUCAAUUUACUUAAAAUAAUUAAUCAAUUAUCUUAUAAGGAAACAAUUAUCUUAUUAAUUGAUAAAUAUCUUCAAUUAGAUUAAAAAUAUAGUCAAAUAUAUCAUAUAAUCGGAUUAAUAUUAAUCUAACAUGAUAAGGUAAUUAUCCCAAUGCAAAAACAGCAAGAAAUCCCGAGAUAAGCACUGUCUGACGCACCGACUCGCCGAGUCACCCUCUGGAACUCGCCGAGUAGGGCUGACUCGCCGAGUCCAAGAGUGACUCGCCGAGUCAGGUCGAACAGUGAGGCCAAAACACGAUUUUCAGUUACAUCAAGCAUCAAUACAAUAGAAACCAAUCAAGGCUCUGAUACCACUGAUGGGUUUUGGUCAUAAGACAUCCUAUGUGCUCAUACAAACCCUAAAGCUUGGAUCUAGGUUUCUCUAUUGUACAUACUUUGAAUCCAAGACUUUGAACCCUAAUUCUAGCAUAUGGAAAUCAGAAUUCACAUGUAAUUAGGUUUAAGAACAUACCUUGAUUGUUAUAUAGCAAUAACAAUCCAAUUCCUCCUUGAAUUGACCUUGGAAAGCUGAGAGUCACAAGUGUCACUCCUCUAAUGGCUUACAAACACCAUAAGCAAGUGGAGAAGGUAUAAAGAGAGAGGAGGGAGGUUAGAAUUCGUCUCUAGGACUUCUUGGGAAGGGAUACACGAAUUCAUGACCCUAGGGGUGUUUAUAUAGGUGUAGAGAUAGGGUUUCAGUCAUUAUCCUUAUCUAGUUGCUUAUCCACCAAGCAACCAAUAAGAUAAUCCUUGAAUCCUUAUCAUACUCGAAUUCUAAGGGAUUUACACCUCAAAUUCGUUCACCAUAUAUAUAAGAUAAUCCUUACCUUAUUUUGUAACUAUCACAUAAUUACAAUUCAGCCCCUCUAGUUUAAUUAAUUACACUUGAUCACAAAAUUAAUUCUUAAUUAAUUAUUGACCAAUAUUAAUUAAACAAAUAUGAUUUCUCCUUUAAUAUAUUAUUCUUAUAACAUAUUAAUAAAUCAUAAUAACCUCUCUCUCUAUUUAUUUCUCCAAUCAAGUUGCUUUGGUGAAGGCAACCCAAAAGGACCAUGCACCAUCGGGUCAAGUACAUACCAAAAUAGUUAUGGACUUAGACACUAAUCCAACAGUCUCCCACUUGGAUAAGUCUAACAACUAUUCUGCGUAUGACUUCGGAUCCCGAUCUGCAAUCGUAGCUUUCCAAAGCCGCUGUCAACUCUGAUCAUAUCAGAUACGCGUGUCCUUAGAUAAGGGAUCAUAUAUUCCUCCAUUCUAGAUAUCAUAUGAGAUAUGAUUUCAAAUCAUUCUCUUUGUACUAUAUCUCGAUUUCCGAUUUAUGACGACUGACUAAUUGAACAAAUCAAAUUAGCCCUAGCCCGGCCGAGCAUUUACGUUUGUCAUCACUAAACCAUCGAGGGGCCCAAAGAUAUCGCUUUUAUCCUACUUUGGAUAAAAGGAACGGAUAAACUUUGAUACAAUGCUUGCUUGCACUCACUCACCGAAUCACACACAACAAUAUGUUUUAUAACACCAAGUUACUAGUGCGUUUACAUAUUAUCAAUGUGCAACCGAUUUGCAAGAUACAACUCACACAUCUCGGUUUCAAGAAUAUAAGAUGUUAUCGUCUCACCAAUCACUCGUGAUACAAUUCAUGGAGUGAUCCAAGUGAGCGUGGGUUUAAUCCAAUGCUCAAAUCAUAUUCAUAAGCACUCAUGAACGUUGCAGCAAACAUUUGCUUAUGUCUAAUACUCUUUUAGACAAUCCACACACCAAUUCACGACAGUCUUCAUUCAUAUCUACUUCCAACAUAUGAACGACUGUGGCCCGUUUGAAUAAUUCGAUUAUUCUUAAUAAACUCAAUUAUUCUGGAAGUCAAAACAUGCAAAUGUGAAACACAAGAAUAAUACUAAUCCCAUAUGGCCUCAAACCUUUGAGUAUAAAUAAAACACCUUUUAUUUAUCACCAUAUUGAUUACUCAUUAUUUGUCGUUUCGGGUAAUCAACUUCUUACUUGAAUUACAACACUUGUCCCAUGCUCCUAGCAUGCACACAAUGUUUACCUAUGGUUCUUACUUUGUGAAAUAGAUCACAUUGAACACAUUUCCAAUCCUUCUCAUUUCACAACUCCAAAUCCGUUUUUCAUAAGUGAAAGAAUAUCAAAUUCUUGUUACUUAUAGAAUAUGCUAGAUUCUAACAUUCUAUGCAACUAUCCUUUCGUAAUGUCACUGCACCAAAGUCACAAAGACUAUUGCCAAUGAUAUUACAAAGUCCUCUAUCGGAGAUUGUUACAAGACAAUUCCUUAGAUAUGAUGUCUCUCACUCAAAGUACAUUCCUUUGAACAUCCUUUUGCAUAAAAGUUUCUAAUCUAGACAUAGAUUUUCAAUAUUCAAUUCCCAAUAUGGACACGUUUCCAUAUUUUCCAUAUGACAACUCAUUCUUAAUAGAAUCUUAUCUAUUCGUAAUGAUGUCGAUAUGGUCCAUCCAAUAUGGAAACAUUUCCAUAAUUUCCAUAUGACAACUCAUUCUUAAUAGAAUCUUUUCUAUUCAUAAUAAUGUCGAUAUGGUCCAUCCAAUACCAUGCUUCCAACUACUCACAAGCGACCAAUCCUCGUCGAACUUUGGAUUGUCCUUUGAUAGUUGUUUAAUUAUUUUAGUCAAAACCGAUUCUAGUCCUUUUUCCCUCUAAAUGCGCUAGACAUUUGGAAAAUUUUAGAAUGGUCAAACAUUAAAGCAUUUGCAAUCGAUCCUAUACCCGAAGCGUAUGGGACACGACGCAUAAUGUUUUAUUUGCUAUGUUCUCAAAAUUCGAAUUGUGAAGAGGAAUGUCGUAAUCAUAAUCGAAAUUUUAAGAACACACUAUGUACCCUUGACUAAAUUUAUUAACAUUUCUCAACCUAAUCCUUUAGAUUUGAAAUGAAGCAUAAUAUUCUCUCCCUUAAUUAUAGCAAAACAACUUUACAACCCUUACGACUUUGCAAGGUAUAACUCUUGUUUUCUAUAAUUAAUAUUGCCAACUUGCAAUACGUGCCUUAAUAAUCAUACAAUCAUAACAUUUAUGCUCCCACUAUCAUGAUGAUUAUUAUAAAACAUAACACUUAUGCUCCCACUAGCUUCGACAUGUAUUCAGAAACAUCUUAACUUUCAGAAAAACAAUGCUUAUUGAAUUUCUUAAGUUCAUGUUUCUAAUACUUAGUGCUUUGAUAAUCUUUUAUCAAGGCUUCUUGAACUUAUACACCUUUGCCUUAGAUAGUUCAUAUGUGUGUCUAAACAAUUAAGACUAAUUGCCAAACCUCACAAUUCAAAUUAUGGAAAGGGAUACCGUAACCAUAAUCGAAUUCGAAGAAUGCAAUUUUACAAUCACUUUCUUUUUAAAUCUUUCUUAGUGAAAGCAUUUCCUCACAAUCAUUUUCAUGAAGGAGGAAAUCUUAUGACACUUAGAUUUAAACGGUGUAUUUGUUCCUAUCCAUGUGAAUUUGUUAAAAACAAAGUUUACGACAAAUUCAAACUCAUAUGGAUCGAACUUUCUUAAUCUCGAUUUCUUGCCUUAUGGUAGCACAGCUGCCCACCAUGUCUUCCAAGUAGUUAAGCAGCUCACCUUUUCUUAUCAAUGUACUUUCCAUUGAUCAAGG
rnacentral:lncRNA from 1 species